rnacentral:rRNA from 1 species
AAGGAAUAUUGGUCAAUGGACGCAAGUCUGAACCAGCCAUGCCGCGUGAAGGAUGAAGGCCCUCUGGGUUGUAAACUUCUUUUAUCUGGGAAGAAACCACUUUUUUUUAAGGGUGUUGACGGUACCAGAGGAAUAAGCACCGGCUAACUACGUGCCAGCAGCCGCGGUAAUACGUAGGGGGCGAGCGUUGUCCGGAGUUACUGGGCGUAAAGCGCAUGCAGGCGGUUGUGUACGUUUGAGGUAACAGCUCCCGGCUCAACUGGGAGAGCGUCUCGAAAACGGCACGACUUGAGGGCUAAAGAGGGACAUGGAAUUCCGGGUGUAGUGGUGAAAUGCGUAGAUAUCCGGAGGAACACCAAUGGCGAAGGCAGUGUCCUGGUUAGCACCUGACGCUCAGAUGCGAAAGCUAGGGGAGCGAAC